rfam:Capsella rubella cultivar Monte Gargano unplaced genomic scaffold scaffold_8, whole genome shotgun sequence.
AACCCAUUGUGUGGGCAGUGAGAUUGAUAUCCCUUAAACCGCUCCCAUGCUUUACACAACGUCUCGUUGUUCUUCUGUGCGAAACUUGAGAUUUCAUUCCUAAGACG